rnacentral:lncRNA from 1 species
GACUUUAUGACUUUUCUUUUUUUCAAUACAUCUCAUUCAUGAAUGCUUUUUCACUAGUUUAAGACUAUUUCUACCCGUACCAAUUCUCUCUUUGGAUUUUUCUUUUAUUUCACACAUUCGGGCUAACUUAUAGUUCAUAUAUCACACCAAUCUUUCCUAUUUCACUCUAGUUUUAAAAACUUCAUCGUGAUGUAUCUAUUUAACCCUCAAUAUGUAUGGUCAGACGUC